rnacentral:rRNA from 1 species
GCGGGGCCCCCUCACGAGUGCAUGUAGGUCGUAGCGAAUGUGAAUCUCAGAUGAGCUUGCUUCUUAUGAAGUUAGCGGCGGACGGGUGAGUAACACGUGGGUAACCUGCCCAUAAGACUGGGAUAACUCCGGGAAACCGGGGCUAAUACCGGAUAAUAUUUUGAACUGCAUGGUUCGAAAUUGAAAGGCGGCUUCGGCUGUCACUUAUGGAUGGACCCGCGUCGCAUUAGCUAGUUGGUGAGGUAACGGCUCACCAAGGCAACGAUGCGUAGCCGACCUGAGAGGGUGAUCGGCCACACUGGGACUGAGACACGGCCCAGACUCCUACGGGAGGCAGCAGUAGGGAAUCUUCCGCAAUGGACGAAAGUCUGACGGAGCAACGCCGCGUGAGUGAUGAAGGCUUUCGGGUCGUAAAACUCUGUUGUUAGGGAAGAACAAGUGCUAGUUGAAUAAGCUGGCACCUUGACGGUACCUAACCAGAAAGCCACGGCUAACUACGUGCCAGCAGCCGCGAUGAUACGUAGGGUGGCAAGCGUUAUCCGCAAUUAUUGCGCGUAAAGCGCGCGCAGCUGGUUUCUUAAGUCUGAUGUGAAAGUCCCACGGCUCAAUCCGUGGAGGGUCAUUGGUAAACUGGAGACUUGAGUGCAGAAGAGGAAGUCGCAAUUCCAUGUGUAGCGUGAAAUGCGUAGAGAUAUCGAGGAACACCAGUGUCGAAGGCUGACUCUCUGGUCUGUCAACGUGCACACUGAGGCGCGAAAGCCUUGAGGAGCAACCUGGACUAGGAUACCCUCGUAGUCCACGCUCGUCAACGUAUGAGCUGCUACGUGUAGAGCGACUUUCCGCUCCCUUCUCAGCUGCUGAGCUACGCAAUCAAGACACGAUCCGCUCUAGGGAGUACGCCGCAGGUCUGGAACUCAAAUGAUUGGACCGGUGUCCGCCACAUAGCAGUGAACAGUUCCGGUUAAAUGCGUAGCACACCGCGA